UUAAAUAUAUGUUAAAUUUGUCACGCUAACUAUUAACUCUAAAAGCUUUCGUUGUUAGAAAUAUACAACCGAUUCACUUAAGAUAUACAGACACAGCGUUCAUGGAUCUCAAUUGUGACUCGCUCUAAUCAACCUCUUGAAGUGUUGCACUUCAAACAUGACUUGAUCCAACCCAACCUCUUGCCACAGGGUAAAAUACUGGUCUCUUUAAAUCAGCAACCCUAGAAUCUAACAUGUCAUAAAUUUAUAAUUAGGGCAUGUUUGGAUGGACAGUAAAAAAUCUCCACAGUAAAUUAAAAAAAUUAAAAUUUGAAAUUUAUUAUUUGUAAACUAAAAUUUAAAAUUUGAUAUUCGAAAAUUAAAAUUUGAAUUUAUAAAAUUAAAAAAUUUAAAAUUUAAAAUUUGACUUUUAAAUUUUGAAAUUAUAAAAUUUAAUUUUUGAUAUUUAAAAUUUAAAAUUCAAAUUUUAAAUUUGCAAUUAAAAAUUUGAAUAUAAAUUAAAUUGUAAAAUUUAAAAUUUAAAAUUUAAAAUUUGAAAUCUAUGUUGAAAUUUAAAAUUUUAUGUUGAAAUUUAAAAGUUAGAAUUUGAUGCAUCUUUGCCC
rnacentral:lncRNA from 1 species